rnacentral:rRNA from 1 species
UACGGGGGGAGCAAGCGUUGUUCGGAUUUACUGGGCGUAAAGGGCGCGUAGGCGGCCACCGCAAGUCGACUGUGAAAUCUCCGGGCUUAACUCGGAAAGGUCAGCCGAUACUGCGGGGCUAGAGUGCGGAAGGGGCAACUGGAAUUCUCGGUGUAGCGGUGAAAUGCGUAGAUAUCAGGAGGAACACCGGUGGUGUAGACGGCUUUCUGGACCGUAACUGACGCUGAGACACGAAAGCGUGGGU